rnacentral:rRNA from 1 species
UACGGGGGGAGCAAGCGUUGUUCGGAUUUACUGGGCGUAAAGCGCACGUAGGCGGAUUGUUAAGUCGGGGGUGAAAUCCUGGAGCUCAACUCCAGAACUGCCUUCGAUACUGGCAAUCUCGAGUCCGGGAGAGGUGAGUGGAACUGCGAGUGUAGAGGUGAAAUUCGUAGAUAUUAGGAAGAACACCAGUGGCGAAGGCGGCUCACUGGCCCGGUACUGACGCUGAGGCGCGAAAGCGUGGGG